UACGUAGGUGGCAAGCGUUGUCCGGAUUUACUGGGCGUAAAGGAUGCGUAGGCGGAUAUUUAAGUGGGAUGUGAAAUACCCGGGCUCAACCUGGGUGCUGCAUUCCAAACUGGAUAUCUAGAGUGCGGGAGAGGAAAGUGGAAUUCCUAGUGUAGCGGUGAAAUGCGUAGAGAUUAGGAAGAACACCAGUGGCGAAGGCGACUUUCUGGACUAUAACUGACGCUGAGGCACGAAAGCGUGGGGAGCAAACAGG
rnacentral:rRNA from 1 species